rnacentral:misc_RNA from 1 species
AUUUUCAGGCUGCACUCAGAGAAGCUGCCCUUGGCUGCUCGUAGCGCCGGGCCUUCUCUCCUCGUCAUCAUCCAGAGCAGCCAGUGUCCGGGAGGCAGAAGAUGCCCCACUCCAGCCUGCAUCCAUCCAUCCCGUGUCCCAGGGGUCACGGGGCCCAGAAGGCAGCCUUGGUUCUGCUGAGUGCCUGCCUGGUGACCCUUUGGGGGCUAGGAGAGCCACCAGAGCACACUCUCCGGUACCUGGUGCUCCACCUAGCCUCCCUGCAGCUGGGACUGCUGUUAAACGGGGUCUGCAGCCUGGCUGAGGAGCUGCGCCACAUCCACUCCAGGUACCGGGGCAGCUACUGGAGGACUGUGCGGGCCUGCCUGGGCUGCCCCCUCCGCCGUGGGGCCCUGUUGCUGCUGUCCAUCUAUUUCUACUACUCCCUCCCAAAUGCGGUCGGCCCGCCCUUCACUUGGAUGCUUGCCCUCCUGGGCCUCUCGCAGUGUGUGAAAAAGGGAAUUUCAACGUGGCCCAUGGGCUGGCAUGGUCAUAUUACAUCGGAUAUCUGCGGCUGAUCCUGCCAGAGCUCCAGGCCCGGAUUCGAACUUACAAUCAGCAUUACAACAACCUGCUACGGGGUGCAGUGAGCCAGCGGCUGUAUAUUCUCCUCCCAUUGGACUGUGGGGUGCCUGAUAACCUGAGUAUGGCUGACCCCAACAUUCGCU